rnacentral:rRNA from 1 species
AGCGAACGCUGGCGGCAUGCCUAACACAUGCAAGUCGAACGAGACCUUCGGGUCUAGUGGCGCACGGGUGCGUAACGCGUGGGAACCUGCCCUUAGGUUCGGAAUAACUCCCCGAAAGGGGUGCUAAUACCGGAUAAUGUCUUCGGACCAAAGAUUUAUCGCCUUUGGAUGGGCCCGCGUUGGAUUAGCUAGUUGGUAGGGUAAAAGCCUACCAAGGCGACGAUCCAUAGCUGGUCUGAGAGGAUGAUCAGCCACACUGGGACUGAGACACGGCCCAGACUCCUACGGGAGGCAGCAGUGGGGAAUAUUGGAAAAUGGGCGAAAGCCUGAUCCAGCAAUGCCGCGUGAGUGAUGAAGGCCUUAGGGUUGUAAAGCUCUUUUACCCGGGAUGAUAAUGACAGUACCGGGAGAAUAAGCUCCGGCUAACUCCGUG